rnacentral:lncRNA from 1 species
GUCUUCCUGGCAAAAAAUGGCAUAAAAACUGAGUUGCUAGCUCAAAUUCCUGGGUUUCAUGGAAUUAUGAUUGAGGCACUACCCUGGUAGUGGCCGUUUCAAGUUUUAAUGAUUGGUUAUGAGACAUGUGCUGGAUACUGGGCGAGCAAUACUUCAAAUCACCUGCAGUGACCCUAAACGAGCGGUUCACUUCAUACCAGAAAGCUACUGAAGAGCAUAGUACCCGGCAAAAGAGCCCUGAGAUACACAGGAGGAUUGACAUCUCUCCAAGCGCUCUGAGGAAGCAUACCCGUUUAGCAGGAGACGAGAGAGUUUUUAAAGAAGAAAUUCAAAAGGGAGAUAAAAAAUUAAGGUGUGAUUCGGCUGAUCUUCGGCAUGACAUUGACCGUCGCCGCAAAGAAAGAAGUAAAGAGCGGGGAGAUUCCAAGGGUUCGAGGGAAUCUAGUGGAUCAAGAAAGCAAGAGAAAACACCAAAGGAUUACAAGGAGUACAAACCUUACAGAGAUGACAGGUGACUGUUAAAGUUGUCUUGACUUAGGCUCUAGCUUCUAAUUAGCCUUUAAUAAUUGUCAGCUUAAUUGCUUUCAAUUUUGACUGUAAUCAAAUGUUUAAAUUUAAACAAUUAAAAUUAUUUGUUUUACAGCAAAAAUGUAUUUGUCUUUUACACGGCUUAUGGUGGAUGAGGACAAAAACUUUGGAAUAGCAAGCUAACACUGAAAAAAAAAAUGACAAAUUAAUGUGUCCUAUUAUCCAGGCUACAUCAGGAGGUUGGACUUCAAUGCAGUGCAUUUCUAGAAACAGUUUGUGUAAGAACUUUGGUUCGUUAUGCUUGAUUCCGCACUUUUUCAACUCAUAACACCCAGAGUACAAGACUGUUAAAGUGUUAUCUAGUGGUUUAACAUGGGAAGAUGGGGGGAGGAAAGCCCAGGAAGCAGGAUUUUGUGCAUUAGUCUUUGAGAAUUGUAUCUCCCUGGAUACUGUUAGCAGUGGUAAGAGCUACUGCAGGUGCGACUUUUUCGGGUGUUCGUUAGAGUCAUGUAAAAUUAUCUUUACAGAGUCAAUAAGUAGAAUAAAAUGUAUUAUAGAGAAGUUUUUUCUUGAUGUUCAUUAGGUAAAUGGUGGAUUUUUACUUGUGCUUUUAAAUUUAUGACUUACUUAUAAUUGUACAUGCCUUUUAUUUCUAUCAUAAUAUUGUAGCCCAAACCAAGCAGACUGUUCUCCCUUAGGGCGUAUGUAAUAAGCUGCAGUCUUUUUAAAACUUGGACUCGAGUUCCGACUGGGGCUGUAGCUCAGUUGUACCUGCUCACCUAGCGUGUGGCGGGCCCUGGAGUCAAUCCCCAGGUACCACAACAGAACCAAACCAUUCUUGCCUUUCCUGUUAUUAAAAUAACAAAAAGUUACAAGUUAAAAUAAUGGACUGAACAUUAUUGAAGUUUGCAAACUACCAGUUUGUAGCUGGUAGGCUGUAGUAUUAUGUAAAACAAUCAAUGAAGACAAUUGGAAACAGACUGUCAGAAUUUAUACCUAAUUUUACUUAUAAUAAUUUUAAGCGGGUACUUUUCUUUUUUUAACUUAAAAACAUUUCCUCGUAAGAUUUUAAAUAAUUCUUUAUCUUAAAAAAAAUAGCACAUGUCUUUUAUUUUUCAGCAAACAUAAAGGGAGAGAGCAAGAUCAUUCUCGGUCAUCGUCCUCUUCAGCAUCGCCUUCGUCACCCAGCUCCCGAGAAGAGAAAGAGAGUAAGAAAGAAAGAGAAGACGAGUUUAAAUCUCACCAUGAGAUGAAAGACUACUCAGGAUUUGCAGGAGUUAGCAGGCCACGAGGAACCUUUUUUCGGAUCAGAGGCAGAGGAAGAGCCCGAGGCGUUUUUGCUGGGACAAACCCUGGUCCAAACAACUCAAACUCCACUUUCCAAAAGAGACCGAAGGAAGAGGAGUGGGAUCCAGAGUAUACCCCAAAGAGCAAGAAGUACUUCUUGCACGAUGACAGAGAUGAUGGUGUGGAUUAUUGGGCCAAAAGAGGAAGAGGUCGUGGUACUUUUCAACGCGGCAGAGGGCGCUUUAAUUUCAAAAAAUCAGGUAGCAGUCCAAAAUGGACUCAUGACAAAUACCAAGGAGAUGGGAUUGUUGAGGAUGAAGAGGAGACCAUGGAAAAUAAUGAAGAGAAGAAGGAUAGGCGCAAAGAAGAAAAGGAAUAGUCUCAAGAUUGCAUCAGGGAGCAGAACUUGACACUUAAUUUUUUUAAACCUGAUUUUUGUUUUCAAAUAAGAAUGUAAGCAUUUUACUUAAAAUGUACUGUUUGCAAGUAGUCUAUAGAAAUUUUGUUUUAAGUCUUCAAAUAUCUUGAAAAUAGUAGACUGUAUGUUGAAAAUUGUACUGAAAUAAAGUAGAAGACGUUCAAUAUCAUAUUUGUAACGAUCAACUUUUAAGCCCUUUGACUGUUUUUGUUACAUGCCUUGUAUUUCUGCUUUGUCUAUAAGAAGUGGUCAAGUACAGUUCUGUGACAGCUCUUAGGAGCCUCCCUGUUAAUGUUUGACCCUGAAGUGAACGUUAGCUCUACACAGAUCCACACAGAUCCUCAGACAGGAGUUGUUCAUAGUGACCACACUAAUCGUUUUAACUGUACACAUCAGUUAACAUCUUUGAAAAUUUGAACACUACAUAGUAGGGUGACUAAUUUUUGAAGAAUGUCACAAAGUUACUAUUAUGGUAAACUCGUUUCACACUUCAACAAAUAUAUAAGGAGGACAGUAGCUUUGUUAAUAGCCAAAAAGUACAAAUUUAAAGUUAGAUUUGAGAAAGUGGUAUUUUUACUGAAAGCAAACAAAGGCCUGUAAAAUAAUUUGAAGAGACUUUCCAGUAUGAGUUCAAAAUUGAAUAUUCUCUUCCAUUCUCAUUUGAUAGUUUGAGUCAUGGUCUUAGAUACCAGCUACCUACGAGAGAGAGAAAUUGGUUUGUAAUAUCAGAUGUAAGUAAAUUCCUAAUUCCAUAGACCUGAUUGUAUUAAAAACAAAACACAGCCAAAACCCCACAAGACCACGACAGAGUUUGGGAGUCCUUCUCCCGUGGAGGAAGGUUAGCCUGCAGCGUAACGUGAUGCACGUGGUCAUCCAGUCCCUGACUGGAGAGCUCACUGUUAGUGGAUGCUUGAACAGCUGUAGACCAGUCCGUAAUUUACAAAAGACUCGAGAAAUGCAACGGGUUGUUUAGUCGUGUUUAAGUAAUUUGUUUUCUCUCUGUGUUGCUAAUAGAAGAUUUUAGCAGGAAGCUUGUAUUAUUGAUCUAAUUUCAAUUUAAGUUUAUAAAAUGGCCUUUUUUGGGGGAGUCUAUUCUUGAGGUAAAUAAUCUCUCCGCUAUUUAACAGCUCUUGAAGGAAUAAAGUAACCUUCAGGGCUAAAAACUAAUUUUUAAGCAAAGGUAAGAUUAGCUACAUUGCAGCGAUUAGUCAUGUAUUUUGCAUUUAAAGAAGACAGUGCUUAUUCUGUUACUGUAAACUUUUCAUGUUUUGAUGAUUAUACAGUGUCUUUGAACUGCUAAAACCUUUUGGCAGCAAAGUUAAACUAAAGCCAAAGUCACCUGUGAAGUGUUUACCCUGCUACGGUCCUCAGGAGUAGUCAGUUUAUGGGAUGCUCCCACUCGUCCUCACCAUGGAAUCAUUCAGUAAAUCAGAAAAUACCUGCAAAGCAACUUUAUUGCUUCAACCUGGACAUAAAUAGUUAUUUAUAAUAACUAUUAUAAUAGUUCAGAUUAACUUAAAUGCAAAAACAAUGUGUUUAAUCCCCUAAUAGUUUUCCUACCAUUUCUAUUUUCCAUGAAUAUACAACUUUUAUUUUAGCAGUUACUUGGUUAUACACUGAAUUUUCACGUUGGUACCUGUUCAGGUUUACUCUUUCCACAACAGAGAAAAGUAGAUUGCUGGAACUUACUUAAUAGGGAGUACCAGGCUGUAUUUAAGUGUACCUGAGGUUUCUUCCAUUUUGUUAGUCCCACUGCAUCCUAGUAAAGGGGUUGUUAGAAGAACUGCAGUAGAACACCACUGUGAAUAUUCUCCUUCUCACAGCCAGACACAAAGUAGCCUGUAUGUAUUCUUUGAGAUCACCAUUUAGUUACAUGCUUCAUGACAUGUUACAAAAGCUGCACAGAGCCUCUUGGUAAAGCUGUUUGCAUACAAGUGCCAGGAAAAAAACUGUUAGACAAUUAAUACCAUAUGUUACACGCUGCAUACGAUGUGAUAUACGCUGCAUACAUAUACUUCCUUUACCCAGAGAAAAGAAAUAAAAAGGAACCAAAGGAUUUUUCCAGAAAAAAAAAAUAAGAAAACAGUUUUAGAAGGCCAUGACUCAAUUCUUAGGUUUGUAUGCUUCAACAUCUUAGGAAUUUUAAUAUAAAAAGCAAAGUCUUUCCCAGUUGCACUCUAUUUCAAAGAAUUGUUAUUGUUCCCUUUCGUCACAGUUAAAAUCAGUGUUGGGAAUUAAAUUAUAAUUUGAGGGGAAAAUAUCCAAUGAGAAUGAAUGUAGAUGGCUAAACGAUUCUUCCUCAGUGUGGUGUAUAUUUCAACAGGGACCCUUGUAAAUUGUCAUAUGCCAAUAAAAUGUCCUAAGUGGUAA